UUAUAUAAUUUUAAUAAUAUAUUUCUAAAAUAUUAUCAUUUAACUUGUAAUCAAUAUAAAACUGAGAUUUUACAUUCUUUUUUAUUGAAGUAUAGUUGAUUUAUAGUAUUGUAUUAGGUCCAGGUAUAUAACAUAGUGACUCGGUAUUUUUGCAGAUUUUAUUCCACUCUAGGUUACUAUAAGAUAAUGGGUAUAAUUUCCUGUGCUAUACAGUAUAUCUUUGUUGCUUAUCUAUUUUACAUAUAGCAACUUGUAUCUGUUAAUCCCAUACCCUUAAUUUGUCCCUUCCCACUUCCUUCUCCCCUUUGGUAACCACAAGUUUUGUUUUCUAUAUCUGUGGAAUCUAAAAAAUAAUACAAAUGAUUGUAGAUGCAUCUUUAAAAAAUAUUAAUUCUUCCAAAGCUGAUGUUUCUUACACCUCAGCACGUCAGUUUGCACUAGAUACAUUUCAAGUGCUCAAUAGCCACAUGUGGCUAGUGGCUACUGUACUGGAGUACAGUUUGGGAAUCAUCUGUGAUGAUUCCCAAAGUUCCACAUACCACAUAUUUCUCCACUAUAGAAAGCCUAUAAAUGAUACAAUGGGCUCUCUUCUGCCGGGUAGUGGGGGUAACAUGCCAGAGCAUUUGUCCAACUGGAAAAUCAUUCCAUCAACUACAACAUUCUGAUCUGUUUUCCAGAAACAAAUCAUGGUGACAUACAUCAACCUGAACUGACUGGAUUUUGUCUGUUUACCUCUGAAACAGAUUGAUGUGCAGCUGUUCUGGAAAUGCAGAUGGCAACUGGGAAGGGUACCUCAAGAUAAUUGGCCCUUGCCGUACAGACAAACUCAAGCAGGGGGCUUUCUAGCCGUGGUUGCAUAGUCCCAGAUAAGUCACAAUUUUAUAACAAAAUAUCAGAAUCAGAACUUUUCAGUUUAUGAACACAAGGUAAAUUUUGGAAAGGCAAUCCUUAUGAGUACAAAAUUAAAAUAAGCCUUUCAUACACAUCUCUGGCUGUUUAUUUGUUCUCAGCAUGGCUUUCCUCUUGAGGUGUUAUCCCUGACCUUGGCUCACAGGGGUCACUGGUUGACUGACCUUACUACCCUGGUCAAAUGCCUCAGUCUUUACUAUCUCUAGAUCCCCCUGUUUCGUUAUCUGGACACCUUCUCUGUUCUACUUCUUCCUUCAAGGUACUUCAGAUCAUGAGGGAGAAAAAGCAUCUUCUCGCGUGGGUUCCAGGGAGCCUAGAAUGUAAAUGACCCUGCCCCCUCCACCUUGUCCAUUUAAAAUUUAUAUUCAAGUGCCAAAUGACGAAUUUGCCAACCGGAUUUCCUCUGGCUCCUAGGAAGCUCAGAGCCAAACUGGCGGGAGCCUAAAAGCAUGAGGUCUAAUGGUUUGGUUUUAUACCCUGCUCUCUUCUUGCUGAGCUUUUAUUCCCUCCUCUAAUUAUUGUACUGUUUGCCAUUUGUUUAUAAGCCACCCCAAGUCAUUCUGGGAAUGUGGUGGGGGUAUACAUAGAUAUAAUAGUCUCUUUAUAGUUUGUCCUAACAAUUGAAUCUUUCAGAUAUUGACUCAGAUACUGAGUGAAGUUAUUCCUUAAAAGAGAAGUGGAGGGAGGAACAUUCUAACCAGGUUCAUCUUACAAAGUGUCACAGAUAAACCACACCGUGUAAGUUCCAUAAAGGCAGGAAUCAUCCAUCACAGGACUUAACACACAAGGGAAACAGAGUAGAUAUUUACCAAAUUAUAUAAAUAUUUGUUUGUGGAACCUCAAAAAAAAAUACUACCUUAGUUUGGAAUAUUCUCUUGAACUAUAGACCUUUUUUUAAAAAAAAUAUUUAUUUAAUCGCACAGGGUCUUAGUUGUGGCAUGUGAACUCUUAGUUGCAGUAUGCAUGUGGGAUCUAAUUCCCUGACCAGGGAUCGAACCCGGGUAUCCUGCAUUGGGAGUGCGGGAGUCUUAUCCACUGCACCAGCAGGGAAGUCCCAAGACCUGCUUGCUUUUAAGAAACAAAAACUACUUGUCUUUAAAAAUGGAGUAUGCACAUUCUUGAAUCUAAUUCUAUGACUCAAUCUACCUGAACUGACAUAGUGAUGGCACUACUGCCAAUACCAGGCAAGUCACAUCUGGGGAGGUUAGUGACUGGAGUUCUUACAUAAGAUUUGACAUUUUCAGUGAAACCAUAACCAUUGAAUAUAAUUAUAUUCCAAUCACAUUUUCUUUUAUAGUCAUAAAUAUUCUCUUCAUGACCAUAACUCCUCCCUUGGAACUAAUAAAUCCUCUGAAAACAUUUCAUUCAGCUCCAGAUUUGCUUCACUUCUCCUCUUUUGCACCUGAGCACAAAAGAAUGGCCUGGUAAUUUUAAUAGUCAUGCUGGCCAUCUUUUCACUCUUGCUUUAGCUCUUCUCAACAUGCAGGCAUGUGGUAUGCCAAGGAGGGCAAGUUGACUGCAGCCCUGGGACUGGCUGCAACUCACUUUGGUGACCCUGGGCUGUACUUAAUCAAGGUGCUAGAUAACUCUGUAUUGCCACGGUACAGGGAAGGGAGCUGGGGGGAGAUGGAACAGGUUAGGUACCACACCUGGAAGCACAAGGAGGCAUCUGAAGGCACUGCUUCAUCCUACAGGCAAGAUGGCCCAAGGGUGGCCAAUUGUUCUUUUUUUUUUUUAAGGAAAUAACAUCUUAUUUAACUGUUUAUUGCUUUAAUUUUUUUUUUUUGGCCACACUGCGCAGUAUGUGGAACUUCCCCAACCAGGGAUCGAACCAGUGUCCCCUGCAGUGGAAGCUCAGAGCCUCAACCACUGGACCACCAGGGAAGUCCCCUUCCCUCUUUUCAAAAACACCCUUGAAUAUCCCCAGAGAAAAAGUAAUCCAUGUGACUUAUGCAUCAAGUUUUGAGAUUAACCCAAACCCAAUCACUCAGCACCUAGAACCUCACUUACUCCUUAAUUCUCUCACUUAAUUCCCUGUUUUAGCCAGUAUCGGCCAAAGCCGUUCUAAAUUUUGUUGGGUAACAAUUUUCUCACUUCAUUUUCUGCUACCAUGUCGCCACUAGUAUACACUGUCAAGAGAUGCAGAGAAAAGUGCCAGACCGCUCACACCCUGCCAAGUGGGAUUGAAAAUGCAGCUGUUAAGACAAUGAGUAUGUGCUGUUGCCUGAACCAUCCAUAAAGAGAACCUGUACACCCUUGACAGAUUUCAUUGGAAAUGUCAUUAAGAUGCCAGAAAGGGUAAGUUUUUAAAGCCAUGUUUAUUGAAGUUGAAUUUACAUUCAGUAAAACUCACUCCAAAAUUUGACAAAGGCAAACAGCACCAUAAUCAAAGUGUAGAGCAGUUCUUCAACACCCACCCCCGACCAAACCCUAUGCAACAAACUCCUCCCUGAUCCUUAGGAAUCCACUGAUCUGUCAAAGGGGUCAAACUUAAUCAUCAAAAUAAUCUAUUAUAGGAAAAACUGUAAGCACAAAAAAACAA